rnacentral:rRNA from 1 species
AGACUGCCGGUGUUAAACCGGAGGAAGUGGGGAUGACGUCAAGUCCUCAUGGCCUUUAUGCCCAGGGCUACACACGUGCUACAAUGGGUGGUACAAAGAGAUGCAAUCUCGCAAGAGCAAGCAAACCUCAAAAAGACCAUCCUCAGUUCGGAUUGGAGUCUGCAACUCGACUCCAUGAAGUCGGAAUCGCUAGUAAUCGCGGAUCAGCACGCCGCGGUGAAUACGUUCCCGGGCCUU